rnacentral:misc_RNA from 1 species
GAGAGAGAGAGAGAGAGAGACAAGCAUCGUCGUUAUGAUCAGAGGAAGAGAAGCGUCUCUUGGGAGGAGCAGGGGCCCGGGAGCCGCCGCGAAGAGUAUUUCGAAGAAGAACGGAUCGCAUAAUCGCCGAAGCUAUUUUCAAGAGCCUGAUUCGAGCCGAAAUGGAGACGAAAUAGUUGCUUCUACUUGCUUUUAGCAGUAGUCCUCUUCCGUCUCGCCAAUACAAAACACAGCCAAUAUGGGCUUUACCCCCAAUUUGGCCCUAAAAGCUUUGGGCACAAAAAUUAGAUUCAAAGAGACCCUUUUUUUUUUUUU